rnacentral:misc_RNA from 1 species
ACCCUAUCUUCACAUUCUCUCCCUUCCCUGGUCAGCCAUUAUAAAUUGCAAGGGAAAAAAUUAGUUUUAUUGUCAAACUGUCAACUUUACCAGCAUUCACUUUAGAUAAUAAAGAUCGGCACUCCCUCAAAGCAUACCGCUCUGGCUGUUUAUGUCGUAUGGUAAUUGUGUCCUUUUUUCCUUGCGUUCUUGCUCUUCCAAAAGCUAUCAUAAUAUCUGAAAGCCUGAAAUUCUAGAUUAUCACUAGGCAGAUUGUUACUCUGCAGUAUGUAAGCUGGCUGCAUAAUGUUAAUGAAUCUUUAAGAUAUGAUGUAGCUCCAACCUGAAAAUUAGUCAAGACAAAGGCCAUUUCUUUUUUAGGGACAUUGACAUAAUGAACUUGACCAAUUUUAUUGGCACUAAAUAAUGCCAAACAAGUGAAAGAAAGAAUCAGUUUUGAAUUAACAUCAUAUUUGUCCAAAAUUUUG